CCUACGGGUGGCAGCAGUGGGGAAUAUUGCACAAUGGGGGAAACCCUGAUGCAGCGACGCCGCGUGAGUGAAGAAGUAUUUCGGUAUGUAAAGCUCUAUCAGCAGGGAAGAAAAUGACGGUACCUGACCCAGAAGCCCCGGCUAACUACGGGCCAGCAGCCGCGGUAAUACGGAGGGGGCAAGCGUUAUCCGGAUUUACUGGGUGUAAAGGGAGCGUAGACGGCCAGACAAGUCGGGAGUGAAAGUCGAGGGCUCAACCCUGGGACUGCAUUUGAAACUGCGGGACUAGAGUGCAGGAGAGGUAAGCGGAAUUCCUAGUGUAGCAGUGAAAUGCGUAGAUAUUAGGAGGAACACCAGUGGCGAAGGCGGCUUACUGGACUGUAACUGACGUUGAGGCUCGAAAGCGUGGGGAGCAAAAGGGAUUAGAUACCCGGGUAGUC
rnacentral:rRNA from 1 species